rnacentral:rRNA from 1 species
GACGUAGGGCGCGAGCGUUGUCCGGAUUUAUUGGGCGUAAAGCGCACGUAGGCGGAUCGUUAAGUCAGGGGUGAAAUCCUGGAGCUCAACUCCAGAACUGCCUUUGAUACUGGCGAUCUUGAGUCCGGAAGAGGUGAGUGGAACUCCUAGUGUAGAGGUGGAAUUCGUAGAUAUUAGGAAGAACACCAGUGGCGAAGGCGGCUCACUGGUCCGGUACUGACGCUGAGGUGCGAAAGCGUGGGGAGCAAACAGG